GGAAGUUAAGAAACUGUUUCUUAACUUUUAACUAAAAAAUCUAAGAACCGGUUCUUAAAGUAAAGGUUUUUAGAUUUUUUAGUUAAAAGUUAAGAAACAGUUUCUUAACUUCC
rfam:Brassica oleracea var. oleracea cultivar TO1000 chromosome C4, whole genome shotgun sequence